GAUCUUCAUGGGAAGAACAAGAAGCAGCAUCUGUUUUUCAUCAAAACUCUCCUGUCAAGACUCCUGGAUGGCUCAGUUGGUCAAGUGUCUGACUCUUGGUUUCGGCUCAGGUCCUGAUCUUGGGGUGGUGGGAUUGAGCCUCACAUUGGGCUCUACAUUCAGCAUGGAGUCUGCUUGAAAUUCUCUCUUCCUCUCCCUCUGCCCCUCCUCUCCUUGCUCCUGCCUCUAAAAUAAAUAAAUAAAUAAAUCUUUAAAAACAAAUACACGACAAACCUCUCUUAUCCUAAGAGGUGUUGGCUUUGGUGGUGGGGACUCUGGUCCACCCCUCCCACAGGGGGCCUCCAGUCAGCCCAGGCCCACUGCUUUGAGGAAGGAGAGUCCAUGACUGUGCUUUUGGCUGGCUGGGCCACUGUGGGAGCAGAGGCAACAGUGGCAGGGCUUCUGGUCAGGCCACUCUCCCCAGAGAUGCCUCUGGCCCUCCGUUUGCCCUUUUGUCAUGGGAACAGUGGAUCCCUAGGGAACUUACUGUCUACAUCUGCAAGGAAAUGGCCAGGGACACUGGGGACCAGAGUGGUGCUAGUAGAGAAGCUGGGGCCCUUCGGAUUGUUUCCCUUCACAGAGAUAAUGAUGCUCUCAUAAACUCAAAUGAAAGAAGGCGCCCCCAACUCGAAGUUUGACAGUCUCCGAAGACCUGGGGGAGGCGGGUCCUGCUCCUCCUCAUCCCUGUCUUUGUGAAAUGAGAAAUGCACUGGCUCUACUUGGAAGCUGGUCUGAGGCCACACUCACACCGUUCAUACAGGGGGUCCCUACGAAGACUGUUCUUGGCUCUUUAAAGCAGAAGACCCCCCAGGGACCAGCAGCAGGGUCAGUCAGGUCUGUAAAGAUGCCUAUGUGUAUCCCGAAUCACGCAGUCCCUUUCUGAGAUGUGAGAUGGUGAGAAGUAUCCUGCAAGCUUGGUGUAGACGAAGCUCCGUGUUAGGGUCGGCUGCCUUUGAACGCCCACUGGCCCCAGCCCCGUCUUCCCCGCCAUGUGAUGCCUGUAACUCAGCUGCUAGUGGUGCACACCCGCCCGGUGACGCUCUCAGGGCGGCCAAGCACGUAGACCGUGUGAAGUGGAGGGUGAGGAAGGAGCUGGGUGGGCUGGAGCCAGGUGCAGUGUGGGGCGGGGCUCCUCCUGUGGGAUUCCCCGGGAGUCCCUUCCAGGUGGGCAUCUUUCUACCCGCCUGA
rnacentral:lncRNA from 1 species